AGAGUUUGAUCCUGGCUCAGGAUGAACGCUGGCGGCGUGCCUAAUACAUGCAAGUCGAGCGAACGGAUAAGGAGCUUGCUCCUUUGAAGUUAGCGGCGGACGGGUGAGUAACACGUGGGUAACCUACCUAUAAGACUGGAAUAACUUCGGGAAACCGGAGCUAAUGCCGGAUAACAUUUGGAACCGCAUGGUUCUAAAGUAAAAGAUGGUUUUGCUAUCACUUAUAGAUGGACCCGCGCCGUAUUAGCUAGUUGGUAAGGUAACGGCUUACCAAGGCAACGAUACGUAGCCGACCUGAGAGGGUGAUCGGCCACACUGGAACUGAGACACGGUCCAGACUCCUACGGGAGGCAGCAGUAGGGAAUCUUCCGCAAUGGACGAAAGUCUGACGGAGCAACGCCGCGUGAGUGAUGAAGGUUUUCGGAUCGUAAAACUCUGUUAUUAGGGAAGAACAAAUGUGUAAGUAACUGUGCACAUCUUGACGGUACCUAAUCAGAAAGCCACGGCUAACUACGUGCCAGCAGCCGCGGUAAUACGUAGGUGGCAAGCGUUAUCCGGAAUUAUUGGGCGUAAAGCGCGCGUAGGCGGUUUCUUAAGUCUGAUGUGAAAGCCCACGGCUCAACCGUGGAGGGUCAUUGGAAACUGGGAAACUUGAGUACAGAAGAGGAAAGUGGAAUUCCAUGUGUAGCGGUGAAAUGCGCAGAGAUAUGGAGGAACACCAGUGGCGAAGGCGACUUUCUGGUCUGUAACUGACGCUGAUGUGCGAAAGCGUGGGGAUCAAACAGGAUUAGAUACCCUGGUAGUCCACGCCGUAAACGAUGAGUGCUAAGUGUUAGGGGGUUUCCGCCCCUUAGUGCUGCAGCUAACGCAUUAAGCACUCCGCCUGGGGAGUACGACCACAAGGUUGAAACUCAAAGGAAUUGACGG
rnacentral:rRNA from 1 species